rnacentral:rRNA from 1 species
GACGAACGCUGGCGGCGUGCUUAACACAUGCAAGUCGAACGAAGUGGCGAACGGGUGAGUAACGCGUAAUCAACCUGCCCUUCAGAGGGGGACAACAGUUGGAAACGACUGCUAAUCCCGCAUACUGAAGGAGGGGAUUGCGGCGGAUUAGCUAGGUUGAGGGGUAACGGCCCACCAAGGCGAUGAUCAGUAGCCGGUCUGAGAGGAUGAACGGCCACAUUUGGACUUAGACACGGCCCAGACCCCUAAGGGAGGCAGCAGGGGGGAAGCUUCCGACAUGGAGGAAAGUCUGACGGAGCAACGCCGGGUGAGUGAUGACGGCCUUCGGGUUGGAAAGCUCUGUUAAUCGGGACGCGGUACCGGAAUAGAAAGCCACGGCUAACUACGUGCCAGCAGCCGCGGUAAUUC